rnacentral:rRNA from 1 species
CCCGCUCAGAAACUCAAAGGAAUUGACGGGGGCCCGCACAAGCGGAGGAGCAUGUGGUUUAAUUCGAUGAUACGCGAGGAACCUUACCUGGGCUCGAACGUAAGAUGACUGUAGGUGAAAGCUUACAUCUCUUCGGAGCAUUUUACGAGGUGCUGCAUGGUUGUCGUCAGCUCGUGCCGUGAGGUGUCGGGUUAAGUCCCAUAACGAGCGCAACCCCUACCUUUAGUUGCCAUCAGGUAAUGCUGGGGACUCUAAAGGAACUGCCUACGCAAGUAGUGAGGAAGGCGGGGAUGACGUCAAAUCAGCACGGCCCUUACGUCCAGGGCUACACACGUGCUACAAUGGCCGAUACAGAGGGCAGCUACCUGGUGACAGGAUGCAAAUCUCCAAAGUCGGUCUCAGUUCGGAUCGGAGUCUGCAACCCGACUCCGUGAAGUUGGAUUCGCUAGUAAUCGCGCAUCAGCCAUGGCGCGGUGAAUACGUUCCCGGGCCUU